GGGGGCGACCUGGCUUCGACGUGGGUUGCGAAACCUGAUGUGCAUGCCGAGAAUGAGAUCUCUCGUAAAUAAGACUCAAUUAAAUAUAAAUGCUAACGAUGCAUACUUUGGAGAUGAAGCUAUCGCUGCGUAAGCUUUGAUAGUGUAGUCCCACCGUGCGCUGCCAAAAACCAGCGCCCCGUUGACCGAGCUUGCUUAUCGGUAUCGACUCAACGGUCAUAGAAGAUAAGCUAGCAAUUUGAGCCUUCCCGUUUCAAAUUGUGAAAUUUAGGGAAUCGCCGUGUAGAAUCCUGUCGGUCGGAGGCUACCCGGUUAACUUAAUAGACCUGACUAAGCAUGUAGACCUGAAGGCAGAGGAUUUGCGGACGCGGGUUCAAUUCCCGCCGCCUCCACCA
rnacentral:tmRNA from 1 species